rnacentral:rRNA from 1 species
AGUGGCGGGACGGGUGAAGUAACGCGGUGGUAACCUGCCCCAUACAGGGGGAUAACAGAUAGAAAUGUCUGCUAAUACCGCAUAAGACCACAGCGCCGCAUGGCGCAGGGGUAAAAACUCCGGUGGUAUGGGAUGGACCCGCGUCUGAUUAGCUAGUUGGUGGGGUAAAGGCCCACCAAGGCGACGAUCAGUAGCCGACCUGAGAGGGUGACCGGCCACAUUGGGACUGAGACACGGCCCAAACUCCUACGGGAGGCAGCAG